GACGAAGGAUGCAAGCGUUAUCCGGAUUCAUUGGGUUUAAAGGGAGCGUAGGCGGACUUAUAAGUCAGUGGUGAAAUCUCCUUGCUUAACAAGGAAACUGCCAUUGAUACUGUAGGUCUUGAGUACAGUUGCCGUUGGCGGAAUAUGACAUGUAGUGAUGAAAUACUUAGAUAUGUCAUAGAACACCGAUUGCGAAGGCAGCUAACGAAGCUGUAACUGACGCUGAGGCUCGAAAGUGCGGGGAUCAAACAGG
rnacentral:rRNA from 1 species